rnacentral:lncRNA from 1 species
CAAUGGAUGCUCUUAAGUCGCAUUUUAUCCUAUGCAUUUUUAGAAGUUUUCACGAAACCAAUUUCAAUGAAUGAGAGACUUUUAAUUCACAAUUCAACAUCUUGAGAGAAAAGAGAAAUAUGCAACUGCGAAGUUCUCACGGGAGAAGUCCUGAGCACACUGCAAGGCAUCCUGGGACCACAGUCUCAAGGGUCACAGAGGAAGGGACUUCGGGGCUGAGACCUGCAGGAAGUGAGGGAACUGCAGGCCUGUCCUCACCCAGGGGAGGUGGAGCCCCCAGACGCUGUGAUAUGAAAUUCCAGAUCAUGGGAGGGAGAGUUUGAAGAAGGAAGAACCACCAAUAGAAAGCGGUCCCCAAAGAGGUAUCGGGGAUGGCACCCAGACAGGAGCACAUGUACCACUGCCCAGAAUGUGCAUUUCACUAGACAAGUGACCACAAAAG